AUAUAGCAUGCAAGGUGUAUUCGACCUGGACGUGAUAGGUAAAGAGGAUCUAGUCAGCGCAAACAGCAAAAUAACUGAGCUGCAGAAAAAUGUUGAGGCAGAAAGAAAGAUAAGGGUUAGAAAAAUGUCAUGUCAACGAGAUCAGAUGACCAAUACCAUCGUAAAAUAUUGAUGUGGAAACAACGAACAGUUCACUAGUCUUCAAGACUGAAGAGUUGGUAUUUGAGAACGAGAAUUUGAAGGAGGAGCUAGAAGAAAACAAAAGCAAAUGCCAAGAAACUUACAGUUACUUGGAGGAGAUAGCGAGGUUGCGUGCAGAGGUGAGUGCUAUGAAACAGUUACAGAGGGAAAAUUAUGAUCUGCGACGCAAGUGUUCUGAACAGGAACAGGCGCUGGUAGAAUUAGGAGACCACCUAAGCAAAUCGAAAGUUAAAGCGGAAGAACUUAAACACCAUGUUGAGAUGACUAUAGAGAACAAAUGGGUGUCUGACAAAGAUCAAGUCAGCUGUCAGCAGUGCCAUGAAAACUUCAGUGUUUCUAGGCGACGGCACCACUGUCGUAACUGUGGAGGUAUAUUCUGUCACCAGUGUUCUGACAACACCAUGCCCCUCCCCUCCUCCUCCCGUCCUCUCAGAGUCUGUGACAAUUGUGCGGAUCUGCUGUUACAACGCAGCGUCGUCCUCGCCACUUAUGUGGUUUUGCCAAUACCAUGACUAGGCUACAGGGUUAGAUGUGCCUGUGUAAAUUAAAUGUUUCACUUUGUAAACUGGUACUGGAGUCUGGACUAAAGAAGAGCUUGAGUAACGACUUUUGAUUUUGUAUAUUAUAGUUUC